rnacentral:rRNA from 1 species
UGCCAGCCGCCGCGGUAAUACGGGGGGUGCAAGCGUUGUCCGGAAUCAUUGGGCGUAAAGAGAAUGUAGGCGGAAUUAUAAGUCUGGUGUGAAAUCCCACAGCUCAACUGUGGAACUGCAUCGGAUACUGUUUUUCUUGAGUUAUAGAGGGGGUCGCGGAAUUUCUGGUGUAGAGGUGAAAUUUGUAGAUAUCAGAAAGAACACCGGUGGCGAAGGCGGUGACCUGGCUAUUAACUGACGCUGAGAUUCGGAAGCGUGGGGAGCGAACAGGAUUAGAUA